GUGAAUCAUCAAAUGUUUGAACGCAAAUUGCACUCUCCUCAGAGAGUAUGCCUGUUUGAGGGUCAGCCUAUAAAAAUCGACAUCGUUGCGGCUUCGCGGUGGCGUUCGUCGGAGAUUGGGUCAUCUUAAAUCCGUUUGAUUUAAGCGACUUGAAGUUUUCUUUUGGUUCCAUUGACGUUUCUAAGAUCUAUUGCGUUACACGUUUAAGGUAUCAAUUUUUACUAGACGUGACCAUCGUAUCGGAUCGCGUCCAUGAACGUUCAUUAACUGAC
rnacentral:misc_RNA from 1 species